GUAGGUGGCAAGCGUUGUCCGGAUUUACUGGGCGUAAAGAGCGCGCAGGCGGUCGAGUAAGUCGAAUGUGAAAGCCCCCGGCUCAACUGGGGAUCGUCAUUCGAUACUGUUCGACUUGAAGAUGGGAGAGGGAAGCGGAAUUUCAGGUGUAGUGGUGAAAUGCGUAGAUAUCUGAAGGAACACCAGUGGCGAAGGCGGCUUUCUGGCCCACUCUUGACGCUGAGGCGCGAAAGCUAGGGGAGCGAACGGGGGAUUAGAUACCCCGGUAGUCCUAGCUGUAAACGAUGAACACUAGAUGUUGGUGGUAUCAACCCCCGCCCAGUGUCGUAGCUAACGCAUUAAGUGUUCCGCCUGGGGAUACGGCCGCAAGGCUA
rnacentral:rRNA from 1 species